UACGUAGGGGGCAAGCGUUGUCCGGAUUUACUGGGCGUAAAGAGCGCGCAGGCGGUCGACCAAGUCGCGUGUGAAAGCCCCCGGCUCAACUGGGGAGGGUCACGCGAUACUGAUCGACUCGAAGGCAGGAGAGGGUAGUGGAAUUCCCGGUGUAGUGGUGAAAUGCGUAGAUAUCGGGAGGAACACCAGUGGCGAAGGCGACUACCUGGCCUGUUCUUGACGCUGAGGCGCGAAAGCUAGGGGAGCAAACGGG
rnacentral:rRNA from 1 species